rnacentral:rRNA from 1 species
UGUUAAAACUUUCAACAACGGAUCUCUUGGUUCUGGCAUCGAUGAAGAACGCAGCGAAAUGCGAUACGUAAUGUGAAUUGCAGAAUUCAGUGAAUCAUCGAAUCUUUGAACGCACAUUGCGCCCGCUGGUAUUCCAGCGGGCAUGCCUGUUCGAGCGUCAUUUCAACCCUUAA